UACAGAGGGUGCAAGCGUUGUUCGGAAUUAUUGGGCGUAAAGCGCGUGUAGGCGGCUUAGCAAGUCAGAUGUGAAAUCCCUCGGCUCAACCGAGGAAGUGCGUCUGAAACUGCUGAGCUUGAGUGUCAGAGAGGGUACCGGAAUUCCGCAAGUAGAGGUGAAAUUCGUAGAUAUGCGGAGGAACACCGGUGGCGAAGGCGGGUGCCUGGAUGACAACUGACGCUGAGACGCGAAAGCGUGGGUAGCAAACAGG
rnacentral:rRNA from 1 species